rnacentral:rRNA from 1 species
UACAUGGGGUGCAAACGUUGCUCGGAAUUAUUGGGCGUAAAGCGCGCGUAGGCGGUUACUUAAGUCGGAUGUGAAAGCCCUCGGCUUAACUGAGGAAGUGCACCCGAAACCGAGUAGCUAGAGUACGAAAGAGGGUCGCGGAAUUCCCGGUGUAGAGGUGAAAUUCGUAGAUAUCGGGAGGAACACCGGUGGCGAAGGCGGUUCUCUGGGCAUUACCUGACGCUGAGGAGCGAAAGCAUCGGGAGCGAACAGG